AGAGUUUGAUCCUGGCUCAGAUUGAACGCUGGCGGCAGGCCUAACACAUGCAAGUCGAGCGGAAACGAGUUAACUGAACCUUCGGGGGACGUUAACGGCGUCGAGCGGCGGACGGGUGAGUAAUGCCUAGGAAAUUGCCCUGAUGUGGGGGAUAACCAUUGGAAACGAUGGCUAAUACCGCAUGAUGCCUACGGGCCAAAGAGGGGGACCUUCGGGCCUCUCGCGUCAGGAUAUGCCUAGGUGGGAUUAGCUAGUUGGUGAGGUAAGGGCUCACCAAGGCGACGAUCCCUAGCUGGUCUGAGAGGAUGAUCAGCCACACUGGAACUGAGACACGGUCCAGACUCCUACGGGAGGCAGCAGUGGGGAAUAUUGCACAAUGGGCGCAAGCCUGAUGCAGCCAUGCCGCGUGUGUGAAGAAGGCCUUCGGGUUGUAAAGCACU
rnacentral:rRNA from 1 species